rnacentral:rRNA from 1 species
GAGGCGAACCGGGGGAACUGAAACAUCUAAGUACCCCGAGGAAAAGAAAUCAACCGAGAUUCCGAAAGUAGCGGCGAGCGAAAUUGGACUAGCCCUUAAGCUUUACACGCGUUAGACGAACGGUCUGGAAAGUCCGACGAUACAGGGUGAUAGUCCCGUAGUUGACGACGUGUGUUCAGUGAAAUCGAGUAGGGCGGGACACGUGAUAUCCUGUCUGAAUAUGGGGGGACCAUCCUCCAAGGCUAAAUACUACUGACUGACCGAUAGUGAACCAGUACCGUGAGGGAAAGGCGAAAAGAACCCCUGUGAGGGGAGUGAAAUAGAACCUGAAACCGUGUACGUACAAGCAGUAGGAGCAGGCUUUGUCCUGUGACUGCGUACCUUUUGUAUAAUGGGUCAGCGACUUAUAUUCAGUGGCAAGGUUAACCAUCUAGGGGAGCCGUAGGGAAACCGAGUCUUAACUGGGCGUUCAGUCUCUGGAUAUAGACCCGAAACCAGGUGAUCUAGCCAUGGGCAGGUUGAAGGUUGAGUAACAUCAACUGGAGGACCGAACCGACUAAUGUUGAAAAAUUAGCGGAUGACUUGUGGCUAGGGGUGAAAGGCCAAUCAAACCUGGAGAUAGCUGGUUCUCCCCGAAAGCUAUUUAGGUAGCGCCUCGGACGAAUACUACUGGGGGUAGAGCACUGUUAAGGCUAGGGGGUCAUCCCGACUUACCAACCCUUUGCAAACUCCGAAUACCAGUAAGUACUAUCCGGGAGACACACGGCGGGUGCUAACGUCCGUCGUGGAGAGGGAAACAACCCAGACCGCCAGCUAAGGUCCCAAAUUACUACUAAGUGGGAAACGAUGUGGGAAGGCUCAGACAGCCAGGAUGUUGGCUUAGAAGCAGCCAUCAUUUAAAGAAAGCGUAAUAGCUCACUGGUCGAGUCGGCCUGCGCGGAAGAUGUAACGGGGCUAAGUAGUAAACCGAAGCUGCGGCAAUAUACUUUUGUAUAUUGGGUAGGGGAGCGUUCUGUAAGCGGUUGAAGGUGUGUGGUAACGCAUGCUGGACGUAUCAGAAGUGCGAAUGCUGACAUGAGUAACGAUAAAGGGGGUGAAAAACCUCCUCGCCGGAAGACCAAGGGUUCCUGUCCAACGUUAAUCGGGGCAGGGUAAGUCGACCCCUAAGGCGAGGCCGAAAGGCGUAGUCGAUGGGAAACGGGUUAAUAUUCCCGUACUUCUUACAAUUGCGAUGGGGGGACGGAGAAGGCUAGGUGGGCCUGGCGACGGUUGUCCAGGUUCAAGUGCGUAGGCUUAAGAGUUAGGUAAAUCCGGCUCUUUUUAAGGCUGAGACACGACGUCGAGCACCUACGGGUGUGAAGUCAUUGAUGCCAUGCUUCCAGGAAAAGCCUCUAAGCUUCAGAUUGUAAGGAAUCGUACCCCAAACCGACACAGGUGGUCGGGUAGAGAAUACCAAGGCGCUUGAGAGAACUCGGGUGAAGGAACUAGGCAAAAUGGUACCGUAACUUCGGGAGAAGGUACGCUCUCGACGGUGAAGUCCCUCGCGGAUGGAGCUAUUGAGAGUCGCAGAUACCAGGUGGCUGCAACUGUUUAUUAAAAACACAGCACUGUGCAAAAUCGUAAGAUGACGUAUACGGUGUGACGCCUGCCCGGUGCCGGAAGGUUAAUUGAUGGGGUUAGACUUCGGUCGAAGCUCUUGAUCGAAGCCCCGGUAAACGGCGGCCGUAACUAUAACGGUCCUAAGGUAGCGAAAUUCCUUGUCGGGUAAGUUCCGACCUGCACGAAUGGCGUAAUGAUGGCCACGCUGUCUCCACCCGAGACUCAGUGAAAUUGAAAUCGCUGUGAAGAUGCAGUGUACCCGCGGCUAGACGGAAAGACCCCGUGAACCUUUACUACAGCUUGGCACUGAACAUUGACCCUACAUGUGUAGGAUAGGUGGGAGGCUUUGAAGCACGUACGCCAGUAUGUGUGGAGCCGUCCUUGAAAUACCACCCUUGUAGUGUUGAUGUUCUAACGUCGACCCCUUAUCGGGGUUGCGGACAGUGCCUGGUGGGUAGUUUGACUGGGGCGGUCUCCUCCCAAAGAGUAACGGAGGAGCACGAAGGUGGGCUAAUCACGGUUGGACAUCGUGAGGUUAGUGCAAUGGCAUAAGCCCGCUUGACUGCGAGAAUGACAAUUCGAGCAGGUGCGAAAGCAGGUCAUAGUGAUCCGGUGGUUCUGAAUGGAAGGGCCAUCGCUCAACGGAUAAAAGGUACUCCGGGGAUAACAGGCUGAUACCGCCCAAGAGUUCAUAUCGACGGCGGUGUUUGGCACCUCGAUGUCGGCUCAUCACAUCCUGGGGCUGAAGUCGGUCCCAAGGGUAUGGCUGUUCGCCAUUUAAAGUGGUACGCGAGCUGGGUUUAGAACGUCGUGAGACAGUUCGGUCCCUAUCUGCCGUGGGCGUUGGA